rnacentral:rRNA from 1 species
GACGUAGGGCGCGAGCGUUGUCCGGAUUUAUUGGGCGUAAAGAGCUCGUAGGCGGCUUGUUACGUCGUUCGUGAAAACUUGGGGCUCAACCCCAAGCUUGCGGUCGAUACGGGCAGGCUAGAGUUCGGUAGGGGAGACUGGAAUUCCUGGUGUAGCGGUGAAAUGCGCAGAUAUCAGGAGGAACACCGGUGGCGAAGGCGGGUCUCUGGGCCGAUACUGGCGCUGAGGAGCGAAAGCGUGGGGAGCGAACAGG